rnacentral:rRNA from 1 species
CCUACGGGAGGCAGCAGUGGGGAAUAUUGGACAAUGGGCGAAAGCCUGAUCCAGCCAUGCCGCGUGUGUGAAGAAGGUCUUCGGAUUGUAAAGCACUUUAAGUUGGGAGGAAGGGCCGUUACCUAAUACGUGAUGGUUUUGACGUUACAGACAGAAUAAGCACCGGCUAACUCUGUGCCAGCAGCCGCGGUAAU